rnacentral:misc_RNA from 1 species
GAUUAAGAGCAUGAAGUGGACGAAUGCUGUGAAAUUUGGAUUAAGGCCCACUAACCAGUAUAAUGGGAUAGAGAAUAAUAUGGCCAGAAUCAGUAGAAAUGGCAAGUAAACGAGCGCAUUAGCGACUGCAUAGGAUGAGACUCUGUAGCUCCCACAAGAGGUCUCCUUCAUUAGAAUUUCCCUUUCUUGCAAGAAGAUUGGUAGUGCUUCUGUUGUGCAAGAGAGCAAGAAUGUCAAUGUAAAAGCAAAUAGGCCUACCCUUUCUUCUGCUCCUGUCAAAUCAUCUUUAACAUUGGAAAAGAUGGAACCCAAAACAAGCCCAG